rnacentral:rRNA from 1 species
UACGUAGGGGGCAAGCGUUGUCCGGAUUUAUUGGGCGUAAAGAGCGUGUAGGCGGCCAGGUAGGUCAGCUGUGAAAACUCGAGGCUCAACCUCGAAACGCCGGUUGAACCAAUCUGGCUAGAGUCCGGAAGAGGAGAGUGGAAUCCUGGUGUAGCGGUGAAAUGCGCAGAUAUCAGGAAGAACACCCGUGGCGAAGGCGGCUCUCUGGAACGCAACUGACGCUGAGACGGCGAAAGCGUGGGGAGCAAACAGG